rnacentral:tRNA from 1 species
UUAAUUGAAGCCAAAAUAGAGGCAUUUCAUUGUUAAUGAAAAAAUUAGAUUUAAUCUCAAUUAAA